CACCAUCCCAUGGAGCUGCAAUGAUCUCUAGCCUGUGAAGUGUGAAGGACCCUUCUCUCUCUAUCUCUGCCCUCACAUCCUCCACAUAGGGCUCAUAGUAUGGUGUGUUGUAGCUGUCCAGCUUCUCUUCCUCUAUCAAUCCCUGCGUUUUUUGAACAAUUUUCUCUUUUUAGUAACAUUUUCCCUGUAAAUUGAUUAAGGGAUAUCACUAGAAGACCAGCUAAGCAACAUGUUUUCCAUGUGAAAGAAUUACAUGGUUUCUAGCCUGCUAACUCCAUUCUAGUGGAUUAUCAGAUGAUGCCAGUCCGAUGACUAAUCAUCUGAUCUUAAGAGCUACAAUCUAGCCUAGCUCUAGAAGACUGCCAGCUUUCGUGAUUUCAAAGCAUCCAUUAGUCAAAUGGUGACAAAUAGCAAUUCCAGCAACUUAGAGCUCACUAGAGAAAGUUAAGUUAAUAAAUUGCACGGUUCAAAGGUUACUUUAUUCAAUUCAAGUAGCCAAGUGACAGGUCUUGCAAAAAUUUGCAAGUUAUACUCCAAGACUGAUGUGAGGACUUGCCAAAACUGACCUCCUCCCCUAGAGAUCCAGAUGCACAUGGGCUAGGCAAAAUUGAUUAAUAACUUCGACUUCAAUAAAAGCUUGUGAGACCGAGCCUUGCAUAUGCAGUGGCUAGAACACAUGGAUGGGGAGAAAUAUUUUUGGAGCAACAUGUACCUGUGAGACCAAAUCCUGAAAUGCUAGUCCUAAGUAGUCCCAAAGCAGACAACUUUCAUCUGGAGACGGGUCUGUCGUCCUCCGGCCCCUGUAAGUCAGGACCAUGUGUCCUCCGGGGGCUAUUUCUUCUGAUCGCGACUCAAGAAAUGAAGAGAAGUCCCUCCUGAAUUGGUUCGAAUAAGCUUCGACAAUUCCCGGUGGACUUGUCCUAGAAAUAUAAAUUUUCCCUUUAUUUACCAGCGCUUUGUUAGAUGGGUCACUCAGCUCCACAGGUACCUGCAGAAGGGAAUUUCAGGCUUGAGGAAGAUUGCACGAAGUGCAGGCUCUUCGCAGGGAAAAGCCUCCCAUAGAAGGAACCUGGAACUCCAGUGAUGUAACAUGGCCCGAAGUCCUGGCCAUUCUCUUCCCUCAUCCUCUUCUGGAACUUUGGAAGGGAGUUGAAGACCGUGUUGAAGUCAUUGGAAGGGAGGUCGUUAAGGAACACACAGAACUGUGGCGGCGAGCGUCCGAGUUGGCGGCAUGUGUUGUGGAUGAUGCUCAUGCUUUCAGAGAUCGCCAACAGAGUGUUUGGCCCGGAAGAGCAGCCGAGAUCAGCGAUUGUGAUGGUAGCAGGAAGUUUCUUGGUACAGAAAUCUAGUAGAGCCGUGUGCAACACCGGCAUUGUCCUGGAAAGAUAUGUGGUCUAGAGAAGAAACAAAAUCUUCAGUUUACUUAGGGGAAACAUAGUAUUAAACGAGAGGUCAAAUCUCAAUAUCAGUGUUCAAUGAAUUGGGUGAUGAUUUACACAUGCAAGAGUCUUCUCGAUAGCACAAUAGUGUUUUUUGGCCAUUUAAUAAAAGAUUGAUCUUGUGUGGAAUUAAAGCUUA